GAUGAACGCUGGCGGCGUGCCUAAUACAUGCCAGUCGAGCGAACGGACGAGAAGCUUGCUUCUCUGAUGUUAGCGGCGGACGGGUGAGUAACACGUGGAUAACCUACCUCUAAGACUGGGAUAACUUCGGGAAACCGGAGCUAAUACCGGAUAAUAUUUUGAACCGCAUGGUUCAAAAGUGAAAGACGGUCUUGCUGUCACUUAUAGAUGGAUCCGCGCUGCAUUGGCUAGUUGGUAAGGUAACGGCUUACCAAGGCAACGAUGCAUAGCCGACCUGAGAGGGUGAUCGGCCACACUGGAACUGAGACACGGUCCAGACUCCUACGGGAGGCAGCAGUAGGGAAUCUUCCGCAAUGGGCGAAAGCCUGACGGAGCAACGCCGCGUGAGUGAUGAAGGUCUUCGGAUCGUAAAACUCUGUUAUUAGGGAAGAACAUAUGUGUAAGUAACUGUGCACAUCUUGACGGUACCUAAUCAGAAAGCCACGGCUAACUACGUG
rnacentral:rRNA from 1 species